rnacentral:rRNA from 1 species
UACGGAGGAUGCGAGCGUUAUCCGGAUUUAUUGGGUUUAAAGGGUGCGCAGGCGGAUUUUUAAGUCAGCGGUCAAAUCGUGGGGCUCAACCCCAUCCAGCCGUUGAAACUGGAGAUCUAGAGUGUGCGAGAGGUAUGCGGAAUGCGUGGUGUAGCGGUGAAAUGCAUAGAUAUCACGCAGAACCCCGAUUGCGAAGGCAGCAUACCGGUGCACAACUGACGCUCAGGCACGAAAGCGUGGGUAUCGAACAGG